rnacentral:pre_miRNA from 1 species
ACGUUGUGAUGACCGGCAUGACCCAAUUGUUGAUCACAUGCACAAUAUAUCUAUUUUGUGUUUUCGGAUUAAUUCCUAAUUAAUUCAUAUACCUUGGGAUGUUUUGAAUUUGGAUCAUCUUCAUUUACUACUUCCGUUCCAAAAAAAUGCAACAAUUGUCAUGACACGGACUCCUAUGCAU